rnacentral:rRNA from 1 species
UGGGGAAUCUUGCACAAUGGGCGAAAGCCUGAUGCAGCAACGCCGCGUGGGGGAUGAAGCUUCUCGGAGUGUAAACCCCUUUCGACCCGGAAGAAUGUCCGCAAGGAUUUGACGGUACGGGUAUAAGAAGCCCCGGCUAACUACGUGCCAGCAGCCGCGGUAAUACGUAGGGGGCCAGCGUUGCUCGGAAUUACUGGGCGUAAAGGGUCCGUAGGCGGUGUGGCAAGUCGGGAGUGAAAUCUCUGGGCUUAACCCAGAGGCUGCUUCCGAAACUGCUGUGCUAGAGUGUGAGAGAGGCGAGUGGAAUUGCGGGUGUAGCGGUGAAAUGCGUAGAUAUCCGCAGGAACAUCCGAGGCGAAAGCGGCUCGCUGGAUCACAACUGACGCUGAGGGACGAAAGCUAGGGGAGCAAACAGG